UACGAAGGGGGCUAGCGUUGCUCGGAAUUACUGGGCGUAAAGCGCACGUAGGUGGUUCGUUAUGUCGGAUGUGAAAGCCCUCGGCUCAACUGAGGAAGUGCAUCCGAAACUGGCGAGCUAGAGUAUGUAAGAGGGUCGCGGAAUUCCCGGUGUAGAGGUGAAAUUCGUAGAUAUCGGGAGGAACACCGGUGGCGAAGGCGGCGACCUGGGACAAUACUGACACUGAGGUGCGAAAGCGUGGGGAGCAAACAGG
rnacentral:rRNA from 1 species